GAUGAAGAACGCAGCGAAAUGCGAUAAGUAAUGUGAAUUGCAGAAUUCAGUGAAUCAUCGAAUCUUUGAACGCACAUUGCGCCCGCCAGUAUUCUGGCGGGCAUGCCUGUCCGAGCGUCAUUUCAACCCUCGCGCCCAUCUGGGCUGCGGUGUUGGGGACCGGCCUGCCCCCCGGGGCGCGCCGCCCCCCAAAUUCAGUGGCGGUCUCGCUGCAGCCUCCCUUGCGUAGUAGCACACCUCGCACCGGAGCGCAGCGCGGCCACGCCGUAAAACCCCCGACCCCCAUGAGUUUGACCUCGGAUCAGGUAGGAAUACCCGCUGAACUUAAGCAUAUCAAUAAGCGGAGGA
rnacentral:misc_RNA from 1 species